rnacentral:rRNA from 1 species
ACCGAACGCUUCCCCCCUGCCUAACACAUGCAAGUCGAACGAGACCUUCGGGUCUAGUGGCGCACGGGUGCGUAACGCGUGGGAACCUGCCCUUAGGUUCGGAAUAACUCCCCGAAAGGGGUGCUAAUACCGGAUAAUGUCUUCGGACCAAAGAUUUAUCGCCUUUGGAUGGGCCCGCGUUGGAUUAGCUAGUUGGUAGGGUAAAAGCCUACCAAGGCGACGAUCCAUAGCUGGUCUGAGAGGAUGAUCAGCCACACUGGGACUGAGACACGGCCCAGACUCCUACGGGAGGCAGCAGUGGGGAAUAUUGGACAAUGGGCGAAAGCCUGAUCCAGCAAUGCCGCGUGAGUGAUGAAGGCCUUAGGGUUGUAAAGCUCUUUUACCCGGGAUGAUAAUGACAGUACCGGGAGAAUAAGCUCCGGCUAACUCCGUG